ACGCUGGCGGCGUGCCUAAUACAUGCAAGUCCAGCGGACAGAUGGGAGCUUGCUCCCUGAUGUUAGCGGCGGACGGGUGAGUAACACGUGGGUAACCUGCCUGUAAGACUGGGAUAACUCCGGGAAACCGGGGCUAAUACCGGAUGCUUGUUUGAACCGCAUGGUUCAAACAUAAAAGGUGGCUUCGGCUACCACUUACAGAUGGACCCGCGGCGCAUUAGCUAGUUGGUGAGGUAACGGCUCACCAAGGCAACGAUGCGUAGCCGACCUGAGAGGGUGAUCGGCCACACUGGGACUGAGACACGGCCCAAACUCCUACGGGAGGCAGCAGUAGGGAAUCUUCCGCAAUGGACGAAAGUCUGACGGAGCAACGCCGCGUGAGUGAUGAAGGUUUUCGGAUCGUAAAGCUCUGUUGUUAGGGAAGAACAAGUGCCGUUCAAAUAGGGCGGCACCUUGACGGUACCUAACCAGAAAGCCACGGCUAACUACGUGCCAGCAGCCGCGGUAAUACGUAGGUGGCAAGCGUUGUCCGGAAUUAUUGGGCGUAAAGGGCUCGCAGGCGGUUUCUUAAGUCUGAUGUGAAAGCCCCCGGCUCAACCGGGGAGGGUCAUUGGAAACUGGGGAACUUGAGUGCAGAAGAGGAGAGUGGAAUUCCACGUGUAGCGGUGAAAUGCGUAGAGAUGUGGAGGAACACCAGUGGCGAAGGCGACUCUCUGGUCUGUAACUGACGCUGAGGAGCGAAAGCGUGGGGAGCGAACAGGAUUAGAUACCCUGGUAGUCCACGCCGUAAACGAUGAGUGCUAAGUGUUAGGGGGUUUCCGCCCCUUAGUGCUGCAGCUAACGCAUUAAGCACUCCGCCUGGGGAGUACGGUCGCAAGACUGAAACUCAAAGGAAUUGACGGGGGCCCGCACAAGCGGUGGAGCAUGUGGUUUAAUUCGAAGCAACGCGAAGAACCUUACCAGGUCUUGACAUCCUCUGACAAUCCUAGAGAUAGGACGUCCCCUUCGGGGGCAGAGUGACAGGUGGUGCAUGGUUGUCGUCAGCUCGUGUCGUGAGAUGUUGGGUUAAGUCCCGCAACGAGCGCAACCCUUGAUCUUAGUUGCCAGCAUUCAGUUGGGCACUCUAAGGUGACUGCCGGUGACAAACCGGAGGAAGGUGGGGAUGACGUCAAAUCAUCAUGCCCCUUAUGACCUGGGCUACACACGUGCUACAAUGGACAGAACAAAGGGCAGCGAAACCGCGAGGUUAAGCCAAUCCCACAAAUCUGUUCUCAGUUCGGAUCGCAGUCUGCAACUCGACUGCGUGAAGCUGGAAUCGCUAGUAAUCGCGGAUCAGCAUGCCGCGGUGAAUACGUUCCCGGGCCUUGUACACACCGCCCGUCACACCACGAGAGUUUGUAACACCCGAAGUCGGUGAGGUAACCUUUUAGGAGCCAGCCGCCGAAGGUGGGACAGAUGAUUGG
rnacentral:rRNA from 1 species